UUCCGGUUGAUCCUGCCGGACCCCACUGCUAUCGGGGUGGGACUAAGACAUGCUAGUCGUGCGCUUCCAAGCCACGGUGGAGGCGCGGCGCACAGCUCAGUAGCACGUGGCUAACCUACCCUUGGGACGGAAACAACCCCGGGAAACUGGGGCUAAUUUCCGAUAGGUGAAGACUCCUGGAAUGGAUCUUCGCCCAAAAGGCGUUUAGACCAUGCUUCUAAGCGCUGCCCAAGGAUGGGGCCGCGGCCGAUCAGGUUGUUGGUGAGGUAACGGCUCACCAAGCCUUUAACCGGUUCGGGCCGUGAGAGCGGGAGCCCGGAGAUGGGCACUGAGACAAGGGCCCAGGCCCUACGGGGCGCAGCAGUCGCGAAAACUUCGCAAUACGCGGGAGCGUGACGGGGCCAUCCCGAGUGCCGUCCGCUGAGGAUGGCUUUUCCCCAGUGUAGAUAGCUGGGGGAAUAAGGAGAGGGCAAGUCUGGUGUCAGCCGCCGCGGUAAUACCAGCUCUCCGAGUGGUGGGGAUGUUUAUUGGGCUUAAAGCAUCCGUAGCUGGCUGGGCAAGUCCCCUGUUAAAUCUAACGAUUCAAUCGUUGGAUUGCGGGGGAUACUGCUCGGCUAGGGGGCGGGAGAGGCCGACGGUAUUCCCGGGGUAGGGGUGAAAUCCUAUAAUCCCGGGAGGACCACCAGUGGCGAAGGCUGUCGGCUAGAACGCGCCCGACGGUGAGGGAUGAAAGCUGGGGGAGCGAACCGGAUUAGAUACCCGGGUAGUCCCAGCUGUAACGAUGCAGGCUAGGUGUUCGGGCGGCCACGUGCCGCUCGAGUGCCGCAGGGAAACUGUUAAGCCUGCCGCCUGGGGAGUACGGCCGCAAGGCUGAAACUUAAAGGAAUUGGCGGGGGAGCACCACAAGGGGUGAA
rnacentral:rRNA from 1 species